rnacentral:rRNA from 1 species
UACGAAGGGGGCUAGCGUUGCUCGGAAUCACUGGGCGUAAAGCGCACGUAGGCGGCUUGUUAAGUCAGGGGUGAAAUCCUGGAGCUCAACUCCAGAACUGCCCUUGAUACUGGCAGGCUUGAGUCCGGGAGAGGUGAGUGGAACUGCGAGUGUAGAGGUGAAAUUCGUAGAUAUUCGCAAGAACACCAGUGGCGAAGGCGGCUACCUGGACCGGUAUUGACGCUAAGGCGCGAAAGCGUGGGGAGCAAACAGG